CUUGGCUCUGUGUGGAUAGAGGAAGCUUAUUGUUCAUUCCGGGUGGAAAUGGUGUAACACAAGUUGAAUGUUUUUGCCCAUUUGUUUUCUCCCACUUUCUUAUUUCUCUCGCUUUCUCUCUUUCUCUGGAAGAUGAGUCUCACCUGUUUCUGCGAUCCCGUCUCACCAUGGAGGAUCUGGAAAGUGAGAAGUAUACAGUUCACGACCCCUGUGUGACCUGGUUGGAUGGUAAGAGCCUUGAUACCCUGAAGCGGGGGAACGAGAUAGAACAUGUAUAGGGAAGCCAAGGCAAGCUCCCAUUCAUGUUAUAUUGAGUGAACCAACCAAAAGGUAACCAUUUCCCUUCGGCCUGUGUUGUCCCUUCCAGAGAAUGAGGUUGCUCUCAGAACCAGAGAGGGUCAUGUCCUGUCCUACAGCCUCCACUCCAACAUCACAGCUACCCUGCUGGACAACAGCUCUUUAGAUUUGACUUACACAAAGUUCCAUGUGUCUGCAGACAAGAGGUUUGUCCUGUUUGCAUACAACAUUCAACCGGUGAGUGACUCUGGUUAUGACCAAAUAAAAUACUCAGAAGAACCAUCUCUUUUACGGUGUCAAUCUUCAUCAAUAAUCAUACUCACUGUCAAAGCAAUUCUCCAAAGACAACAAAGAUGAUUUGAUCGCAACAAGGGUUUCCCACUCGCUUUCAUUGAACACAUUAGCUUUACACAGCAACGCCACAAACUGAUUCCAGACCAUCAGAGAAAAUCAAUUGAGUCAAAUCUGUUUCCGUUUGCGACUAAUGACAGGUCUAUUUCCCAACUGCAUUGUUACUGUCGUACAAUGAUGCCAUGCAUUCUAAUCCAGCCUUUACACUAAAUCCCCUUAUGAAACAGUUAGAGAGAGAAAGAUUGAGGGAGGGAGAGGGAGAGAGAAAGAGAAAGGGAAACUAGUGAUGCCGCUACAGUACUGCAGCAGUCUGUUGCUCUACAUGCUAUUCAAACAACAGCCACUAGUGAAAUCACUGGCAGUCUUCAGACUGGGUAAUGAUGGGGGAAGGGGUGUAGAAGGAUGGAGGGUAUGAAUGGCGGAGAGAGAGUUUGAUGUAGAUUACAGGGCAGGGGGAGGGAGAGAGAGUGUGGUAAAGUUGGAGCUGCAUGCGGUAAUGAAAUCGCCCGGCGGGGAAUGUAAAGGAGAAGCUUAUAUGAGAGUCUAAUGUCUAAUGCACACUUGCAGGUGGUUUGAGAAAAACCCCAGCAUAACAAGCAACUCUAACAACACAUGCAUGCUCUGUCUCCCCCCCGACCCACUCCUUCUGUAAAUAACCGCUCGCUUAAUACAUAGUUUCCUGUUUCUCCAAAGGAGUGAGCAAAAGGUGUAAUAUACAGGUAAUGGGAGCGGAGGAAAAAAAUGAUUAGGAAAAAAAUAAGCCCUCAGCACAAUUUUGGCCUUAUU
rnacentral:lncRNA from 1 species